ACUCCUACGGGAGGCAGCAGUAGGGAAUCUUCCACAAUGGACGAAAGUCUGAUGGAACAACGCCGCGUGAGUGAAGAAGGUUUUCGGAUCGUAAAACUCUGUUGUAAGGGAAGAACACGUACGAGAGUAACUGCUCGUACCUUGACGGUACCUUAUUAGAAAGCCACGGCUAACUACGUGCCAGCAGCCGCGGUAAU
rnacentral:rRNA from 1 species